GGACCCGCACAAGCGGUGGGGCAUGUGGUUUAAUUCGAUGCAACGCGAAGAACCUUACCAGGGCUUGAAUCCCUAUCGUAGAACUUGUAAUGAGUUCGUCAGUUCGGCUGGAUAGGUGACAGGUGCUGCAUGGCUGUCGUCAGCUCGUGUCGUGAGAUGUUGGGUUAAGUCCCGCAACGAGCGCAACCCUUGUCUUUAGUUGCCAACGAGUAAUGUCGGGAACUCUAGAGAUACUGCCACUGAUAAAGUGGAGGAAGGUGGGGAUAACGUCAAGUCAUCAUGGCCCUUACGCCCUGGGCUACACACGUGCUACAAUGGUUACUACAAUGAGAAGCCAGCCAGUGAUGGUGAGCAAAUCUAAAAAAGUAAUCCCAGUUCGGAUUGUAGUCUGCAACUCGACUACAUGAAGUCGGAAUCGCUAGUAAUCG
rnacentral:rRNA from 1 species